GUCUACGGCCAUGCCACCCUGAACAUGCCCGAUCUCGUCUGAUCUCGGAAGCUAAGCAGGGUUGGGCGUGGUUAGUACUUGGAUGGGAGACAACCUAGGAAGACCAGGUGCUGUAGGCG
rnacentral:rRNA from 1 species